UACGUAGGGGGCGAGCGUUGUCCGGAAUCACUGGGCGUAAAGGGCGCGUAGGUGGCGCGGGCAGUCAACGGUGAAAGUUCGGGGCUCAACCCUGAAUCGGCCGUCGAUACUCCCGUGCUUGAGCACUGUAGAGGCAGAUGGAAUUCCGGGUGUAGCGGUGGAAUGCGUAGAGAUCCGGAAGAACACCGGUGGCGAAGGCGGUCUGCUGGGCAGUAGCUGACACUGAGGCACGAAAGCGUGGGGAGCAAACAGG
rnacentral:rRNA from 1 species